UAAUCUCACAACUAAGAACAAUACAAAAUGUUCCAAAAAAAUAGAAAACAAUUAACAACAGAAUAAGAAUAGAAAACAAAAGAAAACAAUUAAUUAAAUCACAAUCGAAAUCGGUUAACAAAUGAAAAGAAUUUUAAAUUUCUACUUAUCAACCAAUGAGAAUCGAUUAGAGUUUCAAUUAGACAUUAGAUGGAGUUAGAUGAACAUCUAAUUGUAAGAUUAAUGUUCAUUUCUAAUUGUGUGUUUAACUUUUUACAAAUUAAUUUAAAUUGUUCUUUUAAUUGUUGUAAAUUGUUUCGUAAUUGUGUACCUGAGAGGAGCAACAAUUAAUACAAUUUUCCAUUUACAAUGUUUUCCAUCAACGGAAAAAAUUGCUUCGUCACCGACAAUUUAAAUUUAUUAAAUCAGUCAGAAUUAUCAGCGGAAAAAAACUAUUACCAUUAUUAUAGUUAUUGUGACUGUGUUACCAUGAUGGAGAAAAGCAAAAAAAAAUGAUGAUCACUAAUGAUGAACAAACAAUCAAUGAAUUCCGGGUAACAACAAUUGAGACGAGAAGAGAAAAUUUUUACAAUCAUUCAAGUGAUUAACAUAAUCAUCAUCAUGUUACUCUUAUCCAAUUUUACACCAUGUUAUCAAUUUUUGGACAAUCAAGUUAAAGGAUAUGAAAAGGAUUAACAUCUCAUGGAUUUACAUCAUAAUUUAACCAGGAAAAAGUUUCAAGUUAAUCAUUGAGAGAGAUAGAGUUGCAAAGGAUUAAGGAUCUAUUAGAUUUAAACAGCAAUUUUAAUCUUCUUUUCGUUGAGGAAAAAAAAAGUUAAAUGUUAAUCAAUAUCUCUUUUAUUGAUUAACUUUUUUUUUCUGCAUCAAAUCAUUUACAGAAGCAGUUUAUUGUUCAAAUGAUUGAUGUUUUAAUGUGCUAGUUGAUUUGAAUAUUAGAUAUGUUAGUUACACUUUGAUUCCCAUUGAUGAUUCAAUUGUUGCAUGAAUAUAUUGAUUCACUAUUAA